CUGACCCCAUUUAAACCUAACAACUUUGCAAUGGCCCACCUUCCAAUACCAUCACACUGGAGUUUCAGAUUGCAACACUGAGUUUUGAGGGCACACAUUCAUGUCGCAUAAGAGAUUUUUAUUGUCGCAUGCAGGGUCUAGUUACCUAAACAAGGAUCAAACCCAGGCUCCCUGCAUUGGGAGCACAGAGUCUUAACCACUGGACCACCAGAAAAGUUCCCUGGUUAUGUCUUUAAGAGAGAUUCUUUGAAAAGAAAUUAUGGGGUCAAACUUGUAAACAGGAUUCUUUACUAUACAUACCAGAAACUGUCAAUUACACCAUCAAGGAUGCUGUGAGCCAGCCAGCCAUGCUGCAUCGCUGACACUGGUGCAAUGUGGGCAUGCAUGUGUGCCCGUGUAUCUAAUUUUUAUAAUUUUAUAAAUUUUAUGGUUUGAAAAGAGAAUCUCAUAUUGUGCUUUUCUGUUCUUGUUACUGAGGUUGAAUAUUUUCCUCUCUUAUCAGGAAAAUAUUUGUUUCCUUUUAAACUACAUUUCCCAUUCUUUCAGAAUGUUCAUCUAUGUCUUCAUGACCUAUAGCAGCAUUUGAUUAUGUAUUAAAGAAGUAAAUAAUUCUAAUAUAUUUUGACCACAUUAUAUCAGCUUGUUAUUUGCCAUGUAAACUAUGUGUAUGUGUGUGAAUAUAUGUAUGUGUUAGUUUUGCAAGAUGAGGUGAUGAUGGAUGGUGGAAAUGAUAAGAAAUAUGUAUAUUGA
rnacentral:lncRNA from 1 species